GCCGGUUUAGCUCAGUCGGUAGAGCGCCGCCCUCGUAAAGCGGAGGUCGCUGGUUCGAUUCCAGUAGCCGGCA
rnacentral:tRNA from 1 species